CACUUCUAAGGAAGGCAGCAGGCGCGCAAAUUACCCAAUCCUGACUCAGGGAGGUAGUGACAAGAAAUAACAAUAAACCGGCUUAUGCCGGUUUAAUUGGAAUGAGUACAAUUUAAACAUCUUAACGAGGAACAAUUGGAGGGCAAGUCUGGUGCCAGCAGCCGCGGUAAUUCCAGCUCCAAUAGCGUAUACUAAAGUUGUUGCAGUUAAAAAGCUCGUAGUUGGAUUUCUGUGGGGACGGAGCGGCCGGCCGCACAUCGCGGUUCGAGCUAGCGCUUUCCCUACAUCCUGCCGCGAACCGUGCUACCAUUAGUUUGGUGGCGCCGGGGAUCGGCUCGAUUACUUUGAGAAAAAUAGAGUGUUCAAAGCAGGCCACAUGCCUUGAAUAAGUUAGCAUGGAAUAAUAACUAAGGACUUCGGUUCUAUUUUGUUGGUGUUCGGGACUGAAGUAAUGAUUGAUAGGGACAGUUGGGGCGGUCUGUAUUCCAAAGCGAGAGGUGAAAUUCUUAGACCUUCGGAAGACAAACAGCUGCGAAAGCGUUCCGCAAGGAUGUUCCCUUUGAUCAAGAACGAAAGUUGGGGGAUCGAAGACGAUCAGAUACCGUCGUAGUCUCAACUAUAAACUAUACCAGCUAGGGAUCGGCCAACGUUAUUUUAUACCGACUUGGUCGGCACCUUAUGAGAAAUCAAAGCAUCUGGGUUCCGGGGGGAGUAUGGUCGCAAGGCUGAAACUUAAAGGAAUUGACGGAAGGGCACCACCAGCUGUGGAGCCUGUGGCUUAAUUUGACUCAACACGGGAAAACUUACCAGGUCCAGACAUAGUAAGGAUUGACAGAUUGAUAGCUCUUUCUUGAUUCUGUGGGUGGUGGUGCAUGGCCGUUCUUAGUUGGUGGAGUGAUUUGUCUGGUUAAUUCCGUUAACGAACGAGACCCCAGCCUGCUAAAUAGCGCGCGUGAGCUUUGCUCGCGGCGAGCUUCUUAGAGGGACUAUGAUGCGCGAUAGCACAUGGAAGUUUGGGGCAAUAACAGGUCUGUGAUGCCCUUAGAUGUUCUGGGCCGCACACGGGCUACACUGGCGCCUGCAACGAGCAUAUCAGCUGGCCCGAGAGGGUCUUGGCUAAUCUUUUGAACCGGCGCCGUGCUUGGGAUUGACCUUUGCAAUUGUUGGUCAUGCAACGAGGAAUGCCUUGUAAACGCGAGUCAUCAGCUCGCAUUGAAUACGUCCCUGCCCUUUGUACACACCGCCCGUCGCUCCUACCGAUGAAUGUUCCGAUGAAAUUUUCGGAGAGCACCUGUGAACUUGGCUCUGCCUUGCGAACGGGAGGCUCAAAGUCACUUAAAUCUGAACAUUUCGA
rnacentral:rRNA from 1 species